rnacentral:miRNA from 12 species
GCGGGCUCGGAGCAGGGCGGCCCCUGGGAGCGGCACCGCUGCCUGUCGCUGUGCCGCGAGCUGCAGCCCUACGGCGCCGCCAUCGCCGCC